rnacentral:rRNA from 1 species
AUUUAACGCUGGCGGCAGGCCUAACACAUGCAAGUCGAACGAGUGGCGGACGGGUGAGUAAUGUCUGGGAAACUUCCUGAUGGAGGGGGAUAACUACUGGAAACGGUCGCUAAUACCGCAUACAAUCGGAUGUGCCCAGAUGGGAUUAGCUAGUAGGUGGGGUAAAGGCUCACCUAGGCGACGAUCCGUACCAGGUCUGAGAGGUUGCCCCUCCACACUGUAACUGUGACAGUGUCCAGUCUCCGACGGGGGUCAGCAGUGUGGAGUAUUGCACAAUGGGCGCGAGUCUGAUGCAGUCAGGCAGCGUGUAAGAAGAAGGCCUGAGGGUGGUAAAGUACUUUAAGCGGGGAGGCGUUACCCGCAUAAGAAGCACCGGCUAAAUCCGUGCCAGCAGCCGCGGUAAUAC